rnacentral:SRP_RNA from 1 species
GCCGGGCGUGGUAGCUCACGCCUGUAAUCCCAGCACUUUGGGAGGCCGAGAUGGGCGGAUCAUCUGAGGUCAGGAGUUCAAGACCAGCCUGACCAACAUGGAGAAACCCCGUCUCUA